rnacentral:rRNA from 1 species
CUAGGACGACGCUGGCAGUGCGCUUAAUGCAUGCAAGUCGAACGGGCAAUGGGGCUUCGGUCCCGGCGCUAGUGGCAGACGGCUGAGUAACACGUAAGUGAUCUGCCCCGGAGCGGGGGAUAAUCCGGAGAAAUCCGGCCUAAUACCCCGUACGUUCAUGUGGUUAAGGCCAUAUGAAGAAAGGCUUCGGCCGCUCCGGGAGGAGCUUGCGGCCUAUCAGGUAGUUGGCGGGGUAAUGGCCCACCAAGCCGAAGACGGGUAACCGAUGUGAGAGCAUGAUCGGUCAGAGGGGGACUGAGACACGGCCCCCACUCCUACGGGAGGCAGCAGCAGGGAAUCUUGCGCAAUGGGCGAAAGCCUGACGCAGCGACACCGCGUGGGGGAAGAAGGCCUUAGGGUUGUAAACCCCUUUUCUGUGGGAAGAGAUAGGACGGUACCACAGGAAUAAGCAUCGGCUAACUACGUGCCAGCAGCCGCGGUAAUACGUAGGAUGCAAGCGUUGUCCGGAUUUACUGGGCGUAAAGGGUGUGUAGGCGGCAUGUUAAGUCUCAUGUGAAAUCUCCCGGCUCAACUGGGAGCGGUCAUGGGAAACUGGCAAGCUGGAGGGCAGCAGAGGAAAGCGGAAUUCCGGGAGUAGUGGUGGAAUGCGUAGAUACCCGGAGGAACACCAGAGGCGAAGGCGGCUUUCUGGGCUGUACCUGACGCUGAGACACGAAAGCGUGGGGAGCAAACCGGAUUAGAUACCCGGGUAGUCCACGCCCUAACGAUGGAUACUAGAUAUAGGGGGUAUCGACCCCUCCUGUGUCGGAGUUAACGCGAUAAGUAUCCCGCCUGGGGAGUACGGCCGCAAGGCUAAAACUCAAAGGAAUU